rnacentral:lncRNA from 1 species
CAUCAAAACUGGUUCCGCCUUCCAGGCAGCACAAACAAAGGAACAACAUAAUAACAGAAGUUGUUUACUGGGUAUGUUGCUGCUCUCUACAAGGCUGUUCAAGUGGAGGGGCACACCUUGUCAAUUGCUGAACGACCUCCUUUGUAAAUUGAGUGAGAGUGUGCGAUUUGCCCUGGAGCAUCUUUUCAGUUGUUCUGAAUUCUGCCACUGCCACAACAGGAGCCUUUGGACUCAAGCUGCCAUGGUCCCUGAAGUCAUCAGCAGGCUGGGAGAGGGCACCAGAUGGGCAAGGAGGCUACAGCUCCUGCAGGACCAGGAAGAAAUGUCCAGAUCCAGAGGGUGAGGAAUUCAUCCACCAGCCUCUGUCAGGUUGUGACUGUGCAGUCUGUUUCUUCUGGAAGAGCCCCAAGUGACAGGUAAGAAAAGGAACACAAAAACACAA